AUUGAACGCUGGCGGCAUGCCUUACACAUGCAAGUCGAACGGCAGCACGGGGGCAACCCUGGUGGCGAGUGGCGAACGGGUGAGUAAUGCAUCGGAACGUGCCCAGUAGUGGGGGAUAACCAGUCGAAAGACUGGCUAAUACCGCAUACGACCUACGGGUGAAAGCGGGGGACCGCAAGGCCUCGCGCUAUUGGAGCGGCCGAUGUCUGAUUAGCUAGUUGGUGGGGUAAAGGCCUACCAAGGCGACGAUCUGUAGCGGGUCUGAGAGGAUGAUCCGCCAGACUGGGACUGAGAUACGGCCCAGACUCCUACGGGGGGCAGCAGUGGGGAAUAUUGGACAAUGGGCGGAAGCCUGAUCCAGCCAUGCCGCGUGUGUGAAGAAGGCCUUUUGGUUGUAAAGCACUUUAAGCGAGGAGGAGGCUACUUAGAUUAAUACUCUGGGAUAGUGGACGUUACUCGCAGAAUAAGCACCGGCUAACUCUGUGCCAGCCGCCGCGGUAACAC
rnacentral:rRNA from 1 species